GAAAGAUGGCCUCGCGUCUGAUUAGCUUGUUGGCGGGGUAACGGCCCACCAAGGCGACGAUCAGUAGCCGGUCUGAGAGGAUGAACGGCCACAUUGGGACUGAGAUACGGCCCAGACUCCUACGGGAGGCAGCAGUGGGGAAUAUUGGGCAAUGGGGGAAACCCUGACCCAGCAACGCCGCGUGAAGGAAGAAGGCCCUCGGGUUGUAAACUUCUUUUACCAGGGACGAAGGACGUGACGGUACCUGGAGAAAAAGCAACGGCUAACUACGUGCCAGCAGCCGCGGUAAUACGUAGGUUGCAAGCGUUGUCCGGAUUUACUGGGUGUAAAGGGCGUGUAGGCGGAGAUGCAAGUUGGGAGUGAAAUCCCGGGGCUCAACCCCGGAACUGCUUUCAAAACUGUAUCCCUUGAGUAUCGGGAGAGGCAAGCGGAAUUCCUAGUGUAGCGGUGAAAUGCGUAAAUAUUUAGGAGGAACACCAGUGGCGAAGGCGGCUUGCUGGAC
rnacentral:rRNA from 1 species